AAACUUAAAGGAAUUGACGGGGACCCGCACAAGCGGUGGAGUAUGUGGCUUAAUUCGAUGCAACGCGAAGAAACCUUACCAAGGCUUGACAUGGAUUUCUAAGCACGUGAAAGCGUGUGACCCUUCGGGGAACUUCCACAGGUGCUGCAUGGCCGUCGUCAGCUCGUGUCGUGAGAUGUUGGGUUAAGUCCCGCAACGAGCGCAACCCUUGUGAUUAGUUGCCAGCACGUCAUGGUGGGAAACUCUAAUCAGACUGCCCAGAUCAACUGGGAGGAAGGUGGGGACGACGUCAGGUCAGUAUGGCCCUUACGCCUUGGGCUGCACACGUACUACAAUGCCCGGCACAAUGAGAACCGAAACCGCGAGGUGGAGGAAAUCUGGAAAACCGGGCCCAGUUCGGAUUGGAGGCUGCAACCCGCCUCCAUGAAGUUGGAAUCGCUAGUAAUGGCACAUCAGCUACGGUGCCGUGAAUACGUUCCCGGGUCUU
rnacentral:rRNA from 1 species